rnacentral:lncRNA from 1 species
UGCCACUCAGGCCAUUUGGGCCGGAGGCUAAGGCGAUGCUUUUCUGAUCAACCAAUGCCUAAUCAUGAGAUUUUUAGACAUUAUUUUCAUUCCCACAGAAAAGCAGAAAGGAAAGCCAAAUUCGUCCUAAGCUCUCUCAUGUCUUCUCUUCUUCAAAUCAGCCUCAGGAGACCCCGUUCCCCUCCUCCCAUGUGGUCCCAAGAAAACUAACAGAAUGUGAAAAAGAGGUGAUUUCACAGCCUCGCUGUCACACUUCCAAAUAUCUCAGGAAAAGCGAAGAAAAAGACCUUGAUUUCUGCAAUUUGGAGUUCUCACCAAGCUGUCUGGAAACCCUCUUUAACUUUGAGGUCCUGAACUCCGUGAGGUGACUGUGUGGACUGCCCCGUCGGCGGGCUCGGCCUGGGCCGGGGUCAGGGUCCAGCGGGUCCUGUAACUCGGUGUGAAGGGCCCCAGGCGGCAGCAUUCUCCCCGCGGAGGAGCAGCCCCUGUGUGGAGAGGCUGCGAUGAGCCCCCCGACGAGGGGAGAGGCUGCGCUGGAGCGGCCGUGGCUGAAACCACUAAAGGCCGCGGAGGCAAGAAGAGGGGACGGAAAUGUGUGGAUCCUCAUUCUGGGGUUGGGGGAGACUGGUGUGGGCUGAGAGGAGAAUGGAGAAAGUGGGUGCAUGGGGGCACGGGGAGGGGCUGGGACAUCCGCCGGUGCCGUGGAGAGCAUCGCUGGAGGCGGACGUGGCUCUGUGGACACGUGGCUUGACUGGCUGCCGGACAGCGGACGCUGCAGAGGAGGAGGUGAAGCUGACGCUAGGAUCCGGGGGGACCCCUGUCGCCGUCAGUUACUGGAGCUUUCAGUCAACUUUGAACAGCUGUGAUCAUCACGGGUGACCUAGACGUGGUCCUGAUGCUGAUGAUACUAGUGCUCGUGAGUUUCACCAUGGGUGAGAAUGAGGUAGGAGGUGCUGCGGCCGUGUGGAGAGAUGGACCCCGGAGCCAAACUAUGUGUGUUCCAACCCCAGCACCUCUACCGAUUAGCUGGGUGAACUCGGGCAAGUUACUUAACCUCUCUGUUCUUGGUUCCAGCACCUGUAACGUGGGACUU